GGCGUUUGAGAUACAAUAUCUAUAUCUAAUGCAGCAGCCGCAGCAGUUGCGAUAAAAGUAGCGAUCUGAACUUGUUGUCUAAAUUUAGCCAAAAGCCAAGGAGGAUCCAGAAGCCGGCAGUUAAGAGCCGGGAGCCAGGAGCCAGGAGCCAGGAGCUUGGAACCAAAACCAAACAAGAAUACCCCGUAAAUCAAGUGAAGGAGAAGACGACCAAGAUGGACAUAGAAUCCGAUUCGGACACCUCGGAGCGAUGGGAGGACUUUUUUGGCAGCACCACAGAGCUAGCCCCUUCGCUCCUGGGCAUCUACGACACUUUGACGAGCAGCCUCUCAGCGGGGGGAACAGCCUCUUCAGCAGCAGCAGGAGCAGCACACGAAUCGAAGGCUUCCAGCAGCGGUAGCUCCACGCCAAAGAGGAGCAACAGCAACAGCUCCACGUGCAGCGGCUCCAGUGUCGCCACCAGCGAUGACCAGAGCUACAAUCUUGCCGGAGGUGGACAACUGCCACCGGUGGUAGCUGGCCUGCGGGACGAACCGGAUGGGGCGCAACUGAGUCGCCUGGUGGUGCAACGCAGUCAGUCCACGCGCCAGGAGCAGCAGCAAUAUCUCCACGGCAGCAGCAGCAGCCUCGCAUCGGGUGGCAGCCGGCGUGGCAGCAACAUCCGCAUCCUAUCGCCCAAUGUCCAUCGCAUAAUCACCCACUCGGACGUGCAGCCUGUGGAGGCGGUUUCCAAAGAGGCAUUCCAGCAGCAGCUUCCUCCCAAGAGUCCCACCCAAGGACGGUAUAUAAAAACCAACUCCCCAUCUGGGACAACUCCGGCGACCCCCAAGCUGAAGCUCUCCCACAUACCGCUGUCGAAGAUCACCAACAAGCUGUCCACUCAGUCGGGCAGCGAGCUGGUGGCCACCUUCGACUCCAGCAACGAGUAUCUGCAUUCCCUGAACUUUCAGGCCGCGGAGAAGCUGAAAGCCCAGGACGAGGAUCGCACGCCGACAAACAAGUCCGUUCCGGGAACACCCUUCCACUUCGAUGGGCAUCCGUUCGCGGCACAGAGGAAGUUGACUUUGCCCAGGUACGAUUCCCAGCAAAGCAUCAAGCUGAUCGAAAUGGAGCAGCUGGCGGCCACCAGUGUGCAGUUGCAGCAGGCUCUGCCAGCCACUCCGGGAACUCCAGGAACGCCUGGAACGGCCAGAACUCCAGCUACUCCAAGAACUCCUGCCACUCCAGCUACUCCCGUCACUCCUGCCACUCCGGUCAAGCCCAAAGAGUUCGUUUGCAGUGAGCCCCUGAGUCCCGUGGAGACGGUGGACGCCAUUAACUUUGACCUGGUGGCCCAGCACAUCGGGAGGUUAACUCUGGCCGACCUGGAAGCUAUGGAUGAGCCCAGUGCCGAGCUGAUCGAGGCCAUCAACAAGCCGCUGAUCAGCAAGCCCCUUGUCAGGAGCUCCUCCGCCGCCAGUGCCUCCACCAUACUCAGCUCUCCACUGCUGACCUAUGCCCGCACCAAGAGUCUGGGUGCCAAGGCCAGCACCUUGGGCGGCGGAGUGCCCAUAAAGCUGCCAACUGCCGAGCAACUGGCCGAGCUGGAGGAGGCCAACAAGCUAUCGGCGGAAAGCCUGGACCGGCUCACGGACAUCAAGCCGAAGUUCGCCGCCCGCUUGAGUGAACUGGCUCGACUCAACAGCAGACCCUUGUCCUCCUCCUCCAUUUGCUCCACUUCCUCAAGCUCGAGUUCCGGAUCAGACCAGUUGCUGAACGGCAAACUGACAGCCACCUCGUAUCUGGCCAGUGUGGAGAGCCUGGCGGAGAGUGAGAAUGAUCUCGGAGACUCCCACCAUGCGCAUCAUCCGCCGGCGAUGAGUGUCCUGGAGCGAGCCUGCCUGGAAAUAGUCGACUCGGAGCGCAGUUUUGUGGAGGAUCUGGGUCAGGUCAUCAAGGGCUACCUGCUGGACUGGAAGGAACGGGCCUGCUUGCGCGUCGACGAAUUGCAAAUACUCUUCGCCAACAUUGAAGAGAUUUACGAAUUCAACUCCGUCCUGCUGCAGCGUCUGGUCAACUCUGGAAUGGAUCCGGGCAGGAUCGCCAGGUGCUUCAUAGACCUGUGCGAGGGAUUUGAUGUGUAUACAACCUAUUGCACAAGCUACCCGGAAGCCAUCUCGCUGCUGACCAAGCUGCUUCAGGCCACGCACACCUACUCCCUGCUGGCCUCCACCCAGAAGCACCUCCAGCACCGGCUGCCCCUCGGCUCCUAUCUGCUCAAGCCGGUGCAGCGCAUCCUCAAGUACCAUCUGUUGCUCGACAGCCUCCGCAAGCACUGCGACGUCAAGGAGGUGGCCGAGGCCUAUGCCAUAAUGCGCCAGGUGGCGCACAACAUCGACCAGGUGAAGCGCAAGCAGGAGCAGCAGAGUCGCGUCAAGGAGCUGUCCGGCAUUCUCGACGGCUGGCUGGGACCAGAGCUCACUGUUCUGGGUGAACUCCGCCAGGAGGGCCUCCUCAUGGAGCAGCACAACAAGCCGCGCCUGGUGCUUCUGUUCGCCACCAUGCUGAUCAUCACCAAGCAGAAGGAGGACGGACGCCUGCAGUUCAAGACUUAUAUUUCGCAAAACAAUCUGAUGCUGAGCGAACACUUGCCCGGGGAGCCGACUAGCUUCUACGUCAUCCCAUUCGAUGAGCCGCGACACCAAAUCAAGCUGACGGCCAGGAAUCGUGACCAGAAGCGCGUCUGGACGCAGCACAUCAAAGGUGUCAUGCUGGAGAAGCUAGACAUUCCACUUCGCGCCAAGGAGCUGGUCUUUCAGCUGGGCAACGAGGAAGUACUACCAGUGAUGCAUUCUAAAACUAAACUCCCCAAAACCAAGAAACGAAAAACCUAGUGUUUAAGGCGUUCUAAGGCUAAAACCCCACACCCAGAGACUGAAACCGAUCUAUUUACAAACCAAAAACAAUUAUUAUUAUAAUAUAAAAUACAAAUCAAUCGGACAGAAUAAUAAUAAUCAAAAAAGGGCUGUAGACAUCCUAAUUGUUAAACAUCCUAAUCGUAAUCGUAGUAUUCGUAAAUGUAACUCUGGUAACCGGAGAGCCUAAUCGCACGCCUGAUCGCAGCACCUGGAAGUGGAGUCUCCACUCGGGCAGCAACUCCACGCCAACGUACUUGGAACGCCGAAAUGCCUGUCGG
rnacentral:misc_RNA from 1 species